GUCACUCCUGCCCCAUGGACGCCCCCGGCACCUGGGCGGGGAGCCACUGAGGGGUGAGCUGUGGGCUGUGGCCCGUGGUUCAGUCCUCCCUGGUGGUCACCCAGGCAUGGCCUGUGCACCCCAGAGGAAUGGCAGCACCCCCCAGGAGUCCCAGCACGCCUGGGUGGCCCAUCUCUGUGCCUUGAGGACGAGAGCCGCUGCGGCCUGAGGGGCAGACACUUGGCACCAGACCAGCUCCUCUGGAGAAUGCCAACCGAAACUUCGGAGGCCAGUGGCCUGGGUGGUUGAACGGAAUUAGGACUUUUCCUGCAGAAGAGGAGGAGAAGAAUCUGGAAGGUGUGCGCGGGGCAGAGGGGCACGCGUUCCCUGCCAUCUCACCACCGACUGCGGGAUGAGGAGUGCCCAUGUGAGUGUGGACACUGUCUUCUGUGGGGGCCACUCUGAGCACAGUGUCGAUUCACCAAGGGACCACAUCCUGGCCUCCAACAGAGCUCCCCUCCCCUCCCCACCCCGUGCGCCGCCGUCUGCGUCCCUGCUUCGGCGAUGGUUGUUGGCAUCGAUGGGCACGUUCGAACCGGGAGGCCAGAUGAAGCGGCCACAGAUUUUGAAAUGCCCACGCGUCUUUAUUUCCACCACCAUGUGCUGUUUGCAGUAGUUUACUGAGCCCUUCAGGACGCGCUGGGGAACGAAGCUGCUGAAAUAGGAAAGCAGCACGGGUGAGGGCCCACAAGUGCCACAGACCAGCCGUGUCACUGCCGGACGGAAGGUGGCUCGACAGAGGACAUCCCAUAUUCCUUUUCCCCGCCUCACAUGCUGGAUUCUUUCACAGCGGGUUAGCGCCGUGGAACGGUCUCACAGCCUCUGCCCUGGCCCACCUCCGGGAUGGGGAUCCCCGAGCUAUUUCGGGGAGUCGACUCGUUCAUGACCUGGAGAAGAACCCUACGCAGGAGACGGAAGCUUUGCUUUUCCUGCAGUGUCUGAACUCCUCAGACAGCGGUGGGACCACCCUGGGGCUGCACGGACACAGGCCGUUGCACCCAGUCCCUGAGGGCGGGGGGGACCCUGUGCGCUGUGUGUGGGGGCCCUGCUGACCUCCUGCCAUCCGCACCCCCCCCCGGGGAAAUGAGCCUCUUCCUGCUCGGCCCGUGGGCCCUUCCAGGGACUGUCCAGGAGCGACUCCCCCGCUCGGGAGGACGUUCCCUAGGACGGCCACACCUCUUCCCGCAGACGAUCCUUACCUCCUGAGCAGAAAGCACCCCGUCUUCUCACGGGAGAGUGACUCUGGAGAUCCGGGAAUUAAACUCAUGGGUUGAUGAAAUAAGAGUCAAGGAUGAAGCUUCUGGUAAGAUUGUGUCAGUGGAAAUGUCUGGAAAGAAGAGGUCAGCUCAGCGGCUUUCAGUGGAAAACCAGCUUGCUGGGAAGCGUGAAGCUGGAGGGCUCCCCGGAACCUUCUCUGGUUGGAUUCCGAUGGAGGGCGUGUGCGGGGCCACGGGGACCGUGUGGCUGACGGGACAUGCUGGCUGCAGGUCCCACGGCCCCGGCUUGGGCCUUGGUUAUUUCUUCUCUCCUUUACAAAAUUGUUUUUCCUAACAAUAACUUUUUUGUUUAAUAAGUUAAAGAACGUUUUGUUUUACUUAUGCAUUUGAUGGAUUGCGGUAAAGUACACAUGACACAAAGUUUACCGUCGUGACUGUUUCUCACCGCGCGGCCCGGCGACACUGAGCACACUCGCGCUGCUGUGCUACCGUCCCCAGCGGCCACCUCUGGCAUUCUUCUCAUCUCGGAAAACUGAAACUCUUCCCGCUAACCGGGGACACCUGCUUCCCCUGCGCCAGCUCCUGGCAGCUUCCAGUCUACUUUCUGUCUCUGAAAGUAACUCCUCUAGGUCCCUCCGAUGAGCGCAAUCACACGGUGUCCGUUCCUUUGUGUCUGACAUAUGUCACUGAGCAUAAUGUCCUCUGUCCAUCCAUGUGGUAGCAGGUGCCAAAAUCUCCUUCCUUUUUAAGGCUGAAAAAUAUUCCACUGUAUGUGCAGACCGUGUUUUGUUUAUGCAUUUAUCCGUGGAGGGACCUUUGGGUUGGUUCCACCCCUUGGCUACUGUGAAUGACGCUGCUAUGAACAUGGGUGUGCAGAUAUACGUUUGAGUCCUUGCUUUCAGUUCUUUUGGGGAUAUGCGCAGCAGUGGAAUUGCUAGGUCAUACGGUGAUUCUCUGUUUAAUUUUUUGAGGAAUUUCUAUGCUUAAUUUUUUGAAGGUUUUGAAGGGUUUCUUUCAAAGUUCCCUUAAAAAAAAAUAUAUAUAUAUAUUUAGAGAAGGAGAGAGAGAGAUGGGGGAGGGGCAGAGGGAGAGGGAGAGAAAGAAUCUCAAGCAGACUCCCUGCUGAGCGUAAAGCCCGACAUGGGACUCAAUCCCACGACCCUGAGAUCACGACCUGAGCUGAAAUCAAGAGUCGGACACCCAACCAACUGAGCCAUGCAGGUGCCCCUCCCUUUGUAUUGCUAUAAUGAUGUCUGACAACUAAGAGGACAUGAGAGUCUUGUUCUCUACCUUCUCAUUCCCGGCAGAAUAAAUUAGCAUGAUUUGAACGUGACGUACGUGCA
ensembl:lncRNA